rnacentral:rRNA from 1 species
GUAUAAGAGACAGCAGCAGCCGCGGGAAUACAGAGGGUGCGAGCGUUAAUCGGAUUUACUGGGCGUAAAGCGUGCGUAGGCGGCUUCUUAAGUCGGAUGUGAAAUCCCUGAGCUUAACUUAGGAAUUGCAUUCGAUACUGGGAAGCUAGAGUAUGGGAGAGGAUGGUAGAAUUCCAGGUGUAGCGGUGAAAUGCGUAGAGAUCUGGAGGAAUACCGAUGGCGAAGGCAGCCAUCUGGCCUAAUACUGACGCUGAGGUACGAAAGCAUGGGGAGCAAACAGGAUUAGAUACCCCGGUAGUCCCUGUCUCUUAUAC